GACACGGUCCAGACUCCUACGGGAGGCAGCAGUGGGGAAUUUUGGACAAUGGGCGCAAGCCUGAUCCAGCAAUGCCGCGUGAGUGAAGAAGGCCUUCGGGUUGUAAAGCUCUUUUGUCAGGGAAGAAACGGUGAGGGCUAAUAUCCUUUGCUAAUGACGGUACCUGAAGAAUAAGCACCGGCUAACUACGUGCCAGCAGCCGCGGUAAUACGUAGGGUGCAAGCGUUAAUCGGAAUUACUGGGCGUAAAGCGUGCGCAGGCGGUUUUGUAAGUUUGUCGUGAAAUCCCCGGGCUCAACCUGGGAAUGGCGAUGAAGACUGCAAGGCUAGAGUUUGGCAGAGGGGGGUAGAAUUCCACGUGUAGCAGUGAAAUGCGUAGAUAUGUGGAGGAACACCGAUGGCGAAGGCAGCCCCCUGGGUCAAAACUGACGCUCAUGCACGAAAGCGUGGGGAGCAAACAGGAUUAGAUACCCUGGUAGUCCACGCCCUAAACGAUGUCUACUAGUUGUCGGGUCUUAAUUGACUUGGUAACGCAGCUAACGCGUGAAGUAGACCGCCUGGGGAGUACGGUCGCAAGAUUAAAACUCAAAGGAAUUGACGGGGACCCGCACAAGCGGUGGAUGAUGUGGAUUAAUUCGAUGCAACGCGAAAAACCUUACCUACCCUUGACAUGGAUGGAAUCCCGGAGAGAUUUGGGAGUGCUCGAAAGAGAACCAUCACACAGGUGCUGCAUGGCUGUCGUCAGCUCGUGUCGUGAGAUGUUGGGUUAAGUCCCGCAACGAGCGCAACCCUUGUCAUUAGUUGCUACGAAAGAGCACUCUAAUGAGACUGCCGGUGACAAACCGGAGGAAGGUGGGGAUGACGUCAAGUCCUCAUGGCCCUUAUGGGUAGGGCUUCACACGUCAUACAAUGGUACAUACAGAGGGCCGCCAACCCGCGAGGGGGAGCUAAUCCCAGAAAGUGUAUCGUAGUCCGGAUUGUAGUCUGCAACUCGACUGCAUGAAGUUGGAAUCGCUAGUAAUCGCGGAUCAGCAUGUCGCGGUGAAUACGUUCCCGGGUCUUGUACACACCGCCCGUCACACCAUGGGAGCGGGUUUUACCUGAAGUAGGUAGCUUAACCGUAAGGAGGGCGCUUACCACGGUAGGAUUCGUGACUGGGGUGAAGUCGAAACAAGGUAGCCGUAUCGGAAGGUGCGGCUG
rnacentral:rRNA from 1 species